UAUCUCUGUAGAGUCUGCAUAUCAAUAAGCGGAGGAAAAGAAACUAACUAGGAUUCCCUCAGUAACGGCGAGUGAAGCGGGAAGAGCUCAAAUUUGAAAUCUUCAAGGUUCUACCUUGACGAAUUGUAGUUUAAAGAAGUGUUUUCUGUUGGAGUUUUGGUAAAAGUUCUUUGGAAUAGGACAUCAUAGAGGGUGAGAAUCCCGUAUUUGACCAUUAUUUCCAGCUUUGUGAUACACUUUCAAAGAGUCGGAUUGUUUGGGAAUGCAGUCCAAAAUGGGUGGUAAAUUUCAUCUAAAGCUAAAUACUGGCGAGAGACCGAUAGCGAACAAGUACCGUGAGGGAAAGAUGAAAAGAACUUUGAAAAGAGAGUUAAACAGUACGUGAAAUUGUCAAAAGGGAAGCGUUUGACACCAGUGUUGUUUUCUCGAAAAUCAAUUAAAAAUGGCAUGAUUUUGUGUUGUAUUGACCUUUAUCAAGCUUUCUUCACUCUUUUCUUGUCUUUUUUAAUGCACUUUUCGUUUAACAAGUCAACAUCAAUUUCUUUUGUUGUAAAAGGGUCAUUGGAAGGUGGCUUUCCUUUCGGAGAAAGUGUUUAUAGCCUUUGGCCUCUGCAAUCGGAGAGAUUGAGGUCUGCAGCGUAGAUCCUUCGGGGUUAGAUACAUUUGUGCUAAGUUAUAGCCUUUCAUAGACAACUUGUUGACUAUGAUCAGUCAUGUAGCUUACUCGCUUAUGCUAUUUUACCUACGCUUAGGAUGUUGACGAUCAGCUGAGCGCG
rnacentral:rRNA from 1 species